UGAUAGAAAUGGAUUUGUAAAUGUAUACCAACUGGAAUCCAUCGUAGACGCCUACUUAGUCCUAUCUGGCUUAUUUCUUAUGAGGAGUUUUAUGAGGCCUGGAAAAUCCAACUUGCUUAUGAUGGUGUUGAAGAGAUAUCUCAGGUUCAUGUUCUUCGUGGGACCAACGGUAUUGUAUUUUAUGUAUGUCCACCAACAGACUGGAAGUGGGCCAAUCUGGAUAAGGCUCACCGAUAGAGAAAUCGAAGCAUGUUAUAAAACAUGGUGGGCAAACGUUCUUAUGUUAGGAAAUUAUAUAGAUACACCCAAUAUUUGCUACCCGACACUAUGGAGUGUACCCUGUGACUUUCAUCUGACUGUUCUUUCAGUAGUAUUGUUUUACCUAUACAGAAGGAACCACCGCCUGGC